rnacentral:rRNA from 1 species
GCAAGUCGAACGAGAAGCCACUUCGGUGGUGGACAGUGGCGAAAGGGCGAGUAAUGCAUAUCUAACGUGCCCCUGAGUCGGGGAUAGCAGAGGGAAACUUCUGGUAAUACCCGAUGACAACGGUAGUCCGCAUGGACGGCCGUUCAAAGAUUAAUCGCUCAGGGAUCGGGAUAUGUCCUAUCAGCUUGUUGGUGAGGUAAUGGCUCACCAAGGCGAAGACGGGUAGCGGGUGUGAGAGCAUGACC